rnacentral:lncRNA from 1 species
GUAAUUUGGUAUCAACAUUUAUAUAUGUCAGCCAUACCGUGUGAUGCGUUUUCAGAUUCAUCACUUGACAACUUCCUGUUUACCUAACACUUGUCUGAUUUUACACAUGAUAGCCAAGUUGAAAAUUUUCGUCACAUUUUUCUCAGGAACUACAAUACAAGGAUUUCUGAAAUUUGGUUUCAGGAUUUAUAUAAGUCAGGUAUACCGUGUGAUGCGUUUUCAGAUUCAUCACUCGACAACUUCCUGUUUACCGAACACUUGUAUGAUUUUACACAUGAUAACCAAGUUAAAAAUUUUCGUCACAUUUUACUCAGGAACUACAAUACAAGG